GCCAGGCCCGGUGGUGUGUGCCUGUAGUCCCAGCUACUCAGGAGGCUGAGGCUGGAGGAUCUCUUGAGUCCAGCAGUUCUAGGCUGUAGUGUGCUAUCCCAACUGGGUGUCUGCACUAAGUUUGGCAUUAAUAUGGUGACCUCCCGGGAGUGGGGACCACCAGGUUGCCUAAGGAGGGAUGAACUGGCCCAGGUCGGAAACGGAGCAGGUCAAAACUCCCGUGCUGAUCAGUAGUGGGAUCGCGACUGAGAACAGACACUGCACUCCAGCCUGGGCAACAUAGUGAGACCCCAUCUCU
rnacentral:SRP_RNA from 1 species